rnacentral:lncRNA from 1 species
UUUAGGUGGAGGGUUAAGUUGUCAAUUUGGGAUCUUUCUUCUUUUUUGAGAAAGGCCUGGAUUGCUAUAAAUUUCCCUCUGAGCACUGCUUUCGCAGCAUCCCAUAGAUUUUGAGAGGUUGUGUCUUCAUUAUCAUUUGUUUCAAGGUAGUUUUUAAUUUCCUUCUUGAUUUCCUCAUUGACCCAUUGGUUUUUUAGUAGCAUGUUGUUUAGUCUCCAUGUAGUAGGUUUUUUCUCUUUCCUUUUCCCAUGGUUGAUUUCUAAUUUCAUGGCAUUGUGGUCAGAGAAGAUACUUGAGAUAAUUUCUAUGCUCCUAAAUUUAUUGAGAUUCGCUUUGUGUCCCAAUAUGUGGUCGAUUCUUGAGAAUGUUCCAUGAGCAUUUGAGAAGAAUGUGUAUUCUGAUUUUUUUGGAUGUAGUGUCCUGAAGAUAUCAAUUAAGUCUAACUUUUCUAUUGUUUCCUUUAGGAUCUCUGUUGCUUUAUUGGUUUUCUGUCUAGAGGAUCUGUCCAUUGAUGUGAGGGGGGUAUUUAGGUCUCCUACUAUGAUUGUAUUCUCAUCAAUAUCUCCCUUUAUGUCUGUUAAUAUUUGUUGUAUGUAUCUGGGUGCUCCUAUAUUUGGGGCAUAUAUGUUGAUGAUAGUAACAUCCUCUCCUUGGAUGGAUCCCUUAAUCAUUAAAUAGUGUCCUUCUUUGUCUUUCUUUAUGUCUUUUGUUUUAAAGUCUAUUUUGUCUGAUAUGAGCGUUGCGACUCCUGCUUUUCUGUCAUGUCUAUUGGCGUGAAAUAUUUUUCCCCACCCUUUCACUUUCAAUCUAUAUGUAUCUUUUGUCCUAAGGUGAGUUUCUUGUAGGCAGCAUAUUGAAGGUUUUUGCCUUUUUAUCCACUCAGCCACUCUGUGUCUUUUGAUUGGGGCAUUCAGUCCAUUGACAUUUAAGGUGAUAAUUGAUAGAUGAUUAUUUAUUGCCAUUUGAACCUCGUGUUCCAGUUGAUUCUAUGGUUCUCCAUUCUUCCUUUCUUUUUUUUUUUUUUUUUGGUUGGAUGGUCUCCUGUUAUUAUCUGCUUGAGUGUAUUUUUUUUUUCAUUUUUUGCAAAUGCAAUAUUUGGUUUUGGCUUGUGGUUGCCCUGUUUUUUAAGUAUGCUAACCCCUUCCCAUAAUUGUGUGUUUUAGCCUGAUGGUCCUGUAAGUUCAAACACUUCAUUACUAUAUUAAAAUUAAGAAGAGAGACAUACAUACAAACAAAAAGGGUUAUUUACCUCCUAACAUCCCUUGCCCACAUUUUAUGGUUUUGAUGACUCUUUUUUAUUUUUUUCUUUUUAAUUUUAUUUUGUUUGAAGCAUGUUCAUGAUUAAAUCUGUAUGCUGGCUUAUUUGAGUGACUGCUCUCUGAUUGCGGUUUCCUCAGUCCUAGUUCUUCCUCUUCUUCUUCUUUUUUUUUUUUUUUUUUUUUCUUUUUUCUUCCCUUUCCUUCCUUUCUUUUUGGUUUAGAGAAGCCCUUUCAAUAUUUCCUUUAACCUGGGUUUUGUGUUGCUGUAUUCUUUAAGUUUUUGUUUGUUGGGAAAAAUUUUUAUUUCCCCUUCUAUUUUAAAUGAUAUUCUUGCUGGAUAGAGUAUUCUAGGUUGCAUAUUUUUUCCUUUGAGCACUUUAAAUAUCUCUUGCCAUUCCCUCCUGGCCUGUAGUGUUUCUGUAGAGAAAUCAGCUGAUAUUCUUAUGGGGGUUCCCUUGUAGGUAACAUUCUGUUUUUCUCUUGCUGCCUUUAGGAUCCUCUCUUUAUCACUAACUUUUGCCAUUUUUAUUAUGAUGUGUCUUGGUGUGGGUCUGUUUGGGUUCAGUUUGUUUGGGGCCCUCUGUGCUUCUUGUAUCUUGAAUCCAGUAUCCUUUAGAUUUGGGAAGUUUCCAGCGAUAAUUUCUUCAAAUAUAUUUUCCAUCCCCUUAUAUUUUCUACUCCUUCUGGAAUUCCUAUUAUGCGUAGAUUGGCCCACUUUAUAUUAUCCCAUAGGUCUCUUAUAUUGCUUUCCAGUUUUUUGAUUCGGUUUUCUGUCUGAUGACUGGAUUGAGUGAUUUCCAUUAUUCUAUCGUCCAUAUCACUGAUUCGUUCUUCUGCAUUAUUCAUUCUGGUUUUUACUGCCCUUAGUUCCGUUUGUAUCACUGCAAAUGAAUGUUCUACUAUUUCUUGGCUCCUCCUUAUAUUUUCUAGCUCCUUUCUGAGGGUAUCUGCAUUACUGUUCAUAUCUUCUCUUAAUUCCUUCAGUAUUUUCACUAUUUCUCUUUUGAACUCCAGGUCUGUCAGACUGCAGAGAUCUGUUUCAUUGUUGACUGUUUUAGGUGAGUUCUCCUGUUGGUUUGACUGGGGGUGGUUUCUCAGCUUCUUCAUCUUGCUUGUUGUUUUCUUUCUCCUGAGGGAGUUGUACUCUCUGUUAUCGGGCAGUGUUUGCCUUGUCACUGCCGUGGAAUAUUUCCUGAGGGCUGGCGUUGUUGGUCAAUCUUUUUUGAGGCAGUGUGGCUUUUCUGGAGUGUUGAUGGGGCUAACAGUGUUUCUUUGAAGCAAAGGAGGACUUCCUGAGGGCAGACAGGACUGGGAGGUCCACACCACGAUGGUAGCAGAUUUCACUUGGUCAUGCAGAGCUUGCUCUGGUGUUUUUAGGCUGUGGGGUUCUUGCAGGGGGUUGGCGGUGUUGGGCAGCUGCUCUUCAGGGGUGCAUCACCCCCUGGGGGCUGGAGCAGCUAUCUGGGUCACUGAGAACCUAAGAGGCUCUUCCCUAGGGCAGCCCAACUCAGAAGGACAGCCUGAGAAUGUAGGCGGAUCUUUUCACAGUCUGGCCGAGCUUGUUGCAGCUUUUCUGGGCUGCAGGGGCUCUUCUAGGGGACUGGUGUCCUAUGCAGCUGAUCCACUAGGGCACCCCCUGGGGGCUUGGGCAGGUAGCAGGGCCGUUGGAAAUCCAAGAGGCUCCUCCCUGGGGCAGCCCGUCUCAGAAAAACCAUCCGAGAAUUAGGCCGAUCUGUUCACGGCCUGGCUAGGCUUGUUCUAGCUUUUCUGGGCUACAGGCCUUUUCUCAGGGGCUGGUGGUGUUUGGUGCUGCUCUGCAGAAGUGUAGCCCCUCCAAAGGGCAAGCAGGCCUGUGCAGGGACAGCCCCUGCGGUGGUAGGCUUCAGGCAAUUGUUGAGGCCAGCCCUCCUGGAUGGCAGGCAGCCCCAGGUCUGGUGAGAGCGUAGGGGGUGGUGUGGGUGGGGGGAGGGGAUGCACUGGGAAGCACAGCUUUCUGCUAGCUAGCGGGCCUGUAAGCUUGCUGUGGCAUGGGGGGUAUUCUAUGGGGACCCACCCCUUCUUCUCUCCCCUCCCCAGCAGGGGUGCAGACCAGGCUCUUCUCCCAGGUUCUCUCUGAUGUGGCUUUCCACUUCCCCGCCCCUAGAGUAUUG